rnacentral:rRNA from 1 species
UGGGGAAUAUUGCACAAUGGAGGGAACUCUGAUGCAGCGACGCCGCGUGAACGAAGAAGGCUUUCGAGUCGUAAAGUUCUUUUAUAUGGGAAGAUAAUGACGGUACCAUAAGAAAAAGCCCCGGCUAACUACGUGCCAGCAGCCGCGGUAAUACGUAGGGGGCUAGCGUUGUCCGGAAUCACUGGGCGUAAAGGGUUCGCAGGCGGAAAUGCAAGUCAGGUGUAAAAGGCAGUAGCUUAGCUACUGUAAGCAUUUGAAACUGCAUAUCUUGAGAAGAGUAGAGGUAAGUGGAAUUUUUAGUGUAGCGGUGAAAUGCGUAGAUAUUAAAAAGAAUACCGGUGGCGAAGGCGACUUACUGGGCUCAUUCUGACGCUGAGGAACGAAAGCGUGGGUAGCAAACAGG